UACGUAGGUGACCAGCGUUGUCCGGAUUACUGGGCGUAAAGAGCGCGCAGGCGGUCGUUCAAGUCGAGUGUGAAAGCCCCCGGCUCAACUGGGGAGGGUCAUUCGAUACUGAUCGACUCGAAGGCAGGAGAGGGAAGCGGAAUUCCCGGUGUAGUGGUGAAAUGCGUAGAUAUCGGGAGGAACACCAGUGGCGAAGGCGGCUUCCUGGCCUGUUCUUGACGCUGAGGCGCGAAAGCUAGGGGAGCAAACGGGG
rnacentral:rRNA from 1 species